GCACAGUAUGUGGAGCGAAGCAGCCCAUCGCUUGAAGGUAGCCGUUAGCGGGUGGAUGUUAACGGAUGCUGGAUGGGGGUCAAGAAAAGACUGCGGAGCGGUGAAGCAUACUGACCGUUACCCCAAACCGACACAGGUAGACGAGUAGAGGAUACUAAGGCGAACGGGAGAACCUCUGUUAAGGAACUCGGCAAAAUAGCCCUGUAACUUCGGGAGAAAGGGCGCCCCUGCAAGGGGGUCGCAGUGAAAGGGCUCUACCGACUGUUUACCAAAAACACAGGUCUGUGCUAACGCGCAAGCGGACGUAUACGGGCUGACGCCUGCCCAGUGCCGGAAGGUUAAGAGGAGCGGUGCAAGCUGCGAAUUGAAGCCCCGGUGAACGGCGGCCGUAACUAUAACGGUCCUAAGGUAGCGAAAUUCCUUGUCGGGUAAGUUCCGACCCGCACGAAAGGCGUAACGAGUGGAGCGCUGUCUCAACAGGGGGACCCGGCGAAAUUGAAGUACGUGUGAAGAUGCGCGUGACCCGCAGCAGGAG
rnacentral:rRNA from 1 species